rnacentral:lncRNA from 10 species
GGGUCGGGUUCAACUUAUCAGGUAUUUAACAAACAAUACUGUUAAAUAAUUAACAGCAUUAUUCCAAGGCAUUUGGACCAUUCUGACCAGUACUCUGCUGUUUCUUAUUUACUAUAAGGGAAUUUUACCAAUAUCUGUAGUUAAACCUCUGAACCUCUGUUUUCAAGGAUUAACAGAUAUAGUUGGAUUUAUUGGCUACAUUAUAAUUGCAUCAUUUAAAACAUUUAUUUUCUUUUUAUAGCACUUUGGGAGGCCAAGGCGGGCGGAUCACAAGGUCAGGAGAUCGAGAUCAUCCUGGCUAACAAGGUGAAACUCCGUCUCUACUAAAAAUGUAAAAAAUUAGCCGGGCGUGGUGGCGGGUGCCUGUAGUCCCAGCUACUCCGCAGGCUGAGGCAGGAGAAUGGUGUGAACCUGGGAGGCGGAGCUUGCAAUGAGCCAAUAUCACACC